CAACAGGGCAUUGCCUUAGUAACGGCGAGUGAAGCGGCAAAAGCUCAAAUUUGAAAUCUGGCGCCUUCGGUGUCCGAGUUGUAAUUUGAAGAAGGCUACUUUGGAGUUGGCUCUUGUCUAUGUUCCUUGGAACAGGACGUCACAGAGGGUGAGAAUCCCGUGCGAUGAGAUGCCCAAUUCUUUGUAAAGUGCUUUCGAAGAGUCGAGUUGUUUGGGAAUGCAGCUCUAAGUGGGUGGUAAAUUCCAUCUAAAGCUAAAUAUUUGCGAGAGACCGAUAGCGAACAAGUACAGUGAUGGAAAGAUGAAAAGAACUUUGAAAAGAGAGUGAAAAAGUACGUGAAAUUGUUGAAAGGGAAGGAUUUGAGAUCAGACUUGGUAUUUUGCAACCUUACCCUCGUGGUGGGGCCCCUGCAGUUUACUGGGCCAGCAUCAGUUUGGAUGAUGGGAUAAUGACUAAGGAAUGUGGCUCUGCUUCGGUGGAGUGUUAUAGACUUGGUUGAUACCGUCUAUCUAGACUGAGGACUGCGUCUUUUGACAAGGAUGUUGGCAUAAUGAUCUUAAAUCACCC
rnacentral:rRNA from 1 species